GAUGAACGCUAGCGGCAGGCUUAACACAUGCAAGUCGAGGGGUAUUGGUUUUCGGACCAAGAGACCGGCGCACGGGUGCGUAACGCGUAUGCAAUCUACCUUUUGCAGAGGGAUAGCCCAGAGAAAUUUGGAUUAAUACCUCAUAGUAUAGUACUUUGGCAUCAAGGAACUAUUAAAGUCACAACGGCAAAGAUGAGCAUGCGUCCCAUUAGCUAGUUGGUAAGGUAACGGCUUACCAAGGCUACGAUGGGUAGGGUCCUGAGAGGGAGAUCCCCCACACUGGUACUGAGACACGGACCAGACUCCUGCGGGAGGCAGCAGUGAGGAAUAUUGGACAAUGGGCGCAAGCCUGAUCCAGCCAUGCCGCGUGCAGGAUGACGGUCCUAUGGAUUGUAAACUGCUUUUAUACAGGAAGAAACACUCCGACGUGUCGGAGCUUGACGGUACUGUAAGAA
rnacentral:rRNA from 1 species